rnacentral:rRNA from 1 species
GAUGAACGCUGGCGGCGUGCCUAAUACAUGCAAGUCGAGCGAACAGACGAGGAGCUUGCUCCUCUGACGUUAGCGGCGGACGGGUGAGUAACACGUGGAUCACCUACCUAUAAGACUGGGAUAACUUCGGGAAACCGGCGCUAAUGCCGGAUAAUCUAUUGAACCGCAUGGUUCAAUAGUGAAAGACGGUUUUGCUGUCACUUAUCGAUGGAUCCGCGCCGCAUUAGCUAGUUGGUACGGUAACGGCUUACCAAGGCAACGAUGCGUAGCCGACCUGAGAGGGUGAUCGGCCACACUGGAGCUGAGACGCGGUCCAGACGCCUACGGGAGGCAGCAGUAGGGAAUCGUCCGCAGUAGGCGAGAGCUUGACGGAGCAACGCGGAGUGAGUGAUGAAGGUCUUCGGAUCGUAAAGCUCGGUUAUUAGGGAAGAACAAAUGUGUAAGUAACUAUGCACGUCUUGACGGUACCUAGUCAGAAAGCCACGGCUAACUACGUG